GGUGCUGGUCAAGAGCCAUCCUGCCAUGGUAACCACUGCCAUUGUCAACACGUACAAGCCUGCACAGGAGAUGGCGAUUGUCAUGGUCACUGUAAUGCCGGAGGUGUCCCAACAUGCGACGACAACGGACACUGUCACUGUAACUAAGGUGUAGAAACGAAAGCGGAUUCGACAUGAAAAUGUUAAAAUAUAAUGUAAAAAAUAAAUUGCACUUAUAAAAUGGU